rnacentral:rRNA from 1 species
UACGUAGGGUGCAAGCGUUGUCCGGAAUUAUUGGGCGUAAAGAGCUUGUAGGCGGUUUGUCGCGUCUGCUGUGAAAACCUAAGGCUCAACCUUGGGCUUGCAGUGGGUACGGGCAGACUAGAGUGCGGUAGGGGUGACUGGAAUUCCUGGUGUAGCGGUGGAAUGCGCAGAUAUCAGGAGGAACACCGAUGGCGAAGGCAGGUCACUGGGCCGCAACUGACGCUGAGGCGCGACAGCGUGGGGAGCAAACAGG